rnacentral:misc_RNA from 1 species
UUUCGGUAUCCUGUGUUGCUUACCCGCGGAAGGGAAAUCGUCCGUUUCGUCGUCCCUUUUCGCCCGACGCCCUCGGUGGGUGUGGGGUGGACAUCAGGCACGAUCCGUGGUCCUGGCACGUCCCGCUCGGGACUGCCUCGGCCCAUGGCGUCGCUGCCCGUUCUCUCGGAUACGGAAUGCCGUGCGUGCGUGGGUGCGGGGCCUAGGCCCUCGCUAGCCCGGAGCCACGCGUUUAUUUGUCCCUCGACACGAACGACUGUCGCGGCCGUCUUGACCUCGCGCGUGCCUUCUUCGGCCGGGCGCGGGUGAUGCGGGCGCGGGCGUCGCGGAGGAAUGCUACCUGGUUGAUCCUGCCAGUAGUCAUAUGCUUGUCUCA